UGAUCCUGGCUCAGGACGAACGCUGGCGGCGUGCGUAAUACAUGCAAGUCGAGCGGACAUUUUAAAAGCUUGCUUUUAAAAUGUCAGCGGCGGACGGGUGAGUAACACGUGGGCAACCUGCCUGUAAGACUGGGAUAACUUCGGGAAACCGGAGCUAAUACCGGAUAAUAUAAGGAACCUCCUGGUUCUUUAUUGAAAGAUGGUUUCGGCUAUCACUUACAGAUGGGCCCGCGGCGCAUUAGCUAGUUGGUGAGGUAACGGCUCACCAAGGCGACGAUGCGUAGCCGACCUGAGAGGGUGAUCGGCCACACUGGGACUGAGACACGGCCCAGACUCCUACGGGAGGCAGCAGUAGGGAAUCUUCCACAAUGGACGAAAGUCUGAUGGAGCAACGCCGCGUGAGCGAUGAAGGCCUUCGGGUCGUAAAGCUCUGUUGUUAGGGAAGAACAAGUGCGAGAGUAACUGCUCGCACCUUGACGGUACCUAACCAGAAAGCCACGGCUAACUACGUGCCAGCAGCCGCGGUAAUACGUAGGUGGCAAGCGUUGUCCGGAAUUAUUGGGCGUAAAGCGCGCGCAGGUGGUCCUUUAAGUCUGAUGUGAAAGCCCACGGCUCAACCGUGGAGGGUCAUUGGAAACUGGGGGACUUGAGUGCAGAAGAGGAAAGUGGAAUUCCAAGUGUAGCGGUGAAAUGCGUAGAGAUUUGGAGGAACACCAGUGGCGAAGGCGACUUUCUGGUCUGUAACUGACACUGAGGCGCGAAAGCGUGGGGAGCAAACAGGAUUAGAUACCCUGUAGU
rnacentral:rRNA from 1 species